rnacentral:pre_miRNA from 1 species
GUCACUUAGAGAAUGGCUAUCCAUAGUAUGGUCUCUGUAUUUAUGAUGAUUAACAUUGGACAAGCAUUGUUUUAGUUAU